rnacentral:rRNA from 1 species
UACGUAGGGGGCAAGCGUUGUCCGGAAUUACUGGGCGUAAAGCGCGCGUAGGCGGCUUUGCAAGUCGGGUGUGAAAUCCCCAGGCCUAACCUGGGAACUGCAUUCGAGACUGCAUGGCUAGAGUAUCGGAGAGGGAAGUGGAAUUUCAGGUGUAGCGGUGAAAUGCGUAGAUAUCUGAAGGAACAUCAGUGGCGAAAGCGACUUCCUGGACGAAUACUGACGCUCAUGUGCGAAAGCGUGGGGAGCAAACAGG